CCUACGGGAGGCAGCAGUGGGGGAUAUUGCACAAUGGGGGGAACCCUGAUGCAGCGACGCCGCGUGGGUGAAGAAGCGCCUCGGCGCGUAAAGCCCUGUCAGCAGGGAAGAAAAUGACAGUACCUGAAGAAGAAGCCCCGGCUAACUACGUGCCAGCAGCCGCGGUAAUACGUAGGGGGCAAGCGUUAUCCGGAUUUAUGGGGUUUAAGGGGUGCGUAGGCGGAUUUUUAAGUCAGCGGUAAAAUGUCCGGGCUCAACCGGGGCCGGCCGUUGAAACUGGGGAUCUUGAGUGGGCGAGAAGUAUGCGGAAUGCGUGGUGUAGCGGUGAAAUGCAUAGAUAUCACGCAGAACUCCGAUUGCGAAGGCAGCAUCCUGGCGCCCGACUGACGCUGAGGCACGAAAGCGUGGGGAUCGAACAGGAUUAGAUACCCCUGUAGUC
rnacentral:rRNA from 1 species